rnacentral:tRNA from 1 species
CGCCUCGAAAACCCUUACAGCAUCCGACUGUUAAUCGGACGGUUAUUGGUUCGAGUCCAAUCGGGGGAGCCA